CCUCCCCUUCAAUAAAAAAAAAAUCCAGCAACAACAACAAAAAACAUCUGUGAAAUUCCAUGUGCUGGGUUUGGAGGAGCCAGAUAUGUGUACGUAUUGUGAAUUGUGGCACCUGGAGGGGUACUGGUGCUGCCUGGGAAGCACGUGGAAUCACGUUAACUCAAUAAGGCAGAGCAACAUUCAACUCAUAGUUAAUUGUUAACUCAUAACUCAUACUGCGGCACUCAUUAGCUGUGUCACUCAUCCUCGCUGUGCUUGGUUUCCUCAUCUCUGGAAUGGGCGUGGUUUCAGUAUGUACCUCACAGGGCUGCCAGGAGGUUUGAAAGACGCAACACAGGAAGAACCUGGCACAGUUCCUGGUCCUUUCUAGAAGCUCUAUGGGUAACCCAUUACUAUUAUUAUUUGUUUUAUUAUAUAAAAGUGAGUUGAAUGCCUUUUUUUCAGUCUUUAAAAUGUCUUGAUUCAACCUGGAAGGCAUUAUGAUGUGGUGGAGGCCUGUGUAACACAGUGGGUACAGCAAGGACUAUGUGACAACAACAACAAUGGCAACAACAACAACACCUGACUGGGGGGAAUUAGUAAAAUGAAAUGACCUAUGUAAAAUAGGUCGUUGUACCUGGCAUACUGCCAACUCUCAACAAACUUUCACUGCUAUUAUUGCCAUUAUUUCAGGAAGACGUUGGUGGAGAUGAGUAUGGAACCACACCUCCAAACACUGCACUUGUUUUUGGGCAGUAAUCCCAGCCCAUCCUUUUUUACUUGGGGCCAGCUUGCACUUGCUUUCUACUCUUUGGUUCCUGGACGCCUGGAUUGGUGCUUGAGCUCUUUCCAUGUUUGCUACCUUCUGCCUUGGUGAUUCCCCAUAUUCUCCUUUUGGAGUUGGAUGUUACCAUCCUGCAUCAUUCCUAAAUGGUUCAGAGCAGUGUGUGUGUGUGUGUGUGUGUGUGUGUGUGUGUGUGUGUGUGAACAUGCUCCUGUGCAUGCGUGCACGUGUGCAGCUCAUGUGUGCAUGCAUGUGUGCACGGGUGUGCACACCUUGCUGUGUGUAGAGGAACUGAGAAGGCGGAUACAGAUGUUCUGCAGGCACAAGUAGUAAAAUCUCAUAAUUGCAUAUGUCAAGAUGAGGCUCAUUCACAUGUGAUGUGGCUGGUCUUGGCUCCUGCUCUCUGCCUCUCACUUCCAUCCCCUAGCCUUGGGGAGAAGGAAAUGUGGAAAGGAGGCCAGGGCUGACGGGAAAUGAGGGGUCAGUGGAGGUAGCUGCUUUUGUCACCCAGUGUUCUGGUGGCCAAAUCUUUCUUGGAGUCACUGCCAUUGCCCUGUAAGUCCUAGGCAGCUGCUCGGCCCAGACAUGCCAACAUAAAUCUGAGUCACCAGGCGUUUAUCAGGGAUGUUUCUCUGAAAAGUUAAUUUUACUAAGAUGAGAAAACAAACUAAAAUUUGUUAGGAAUGACAGCUCUCUGUGGUCCUCAGCUUCCUUCUCUUAGAAGUUCUCAGUAUCAGCACGUGCUUAUCUGUCUGUCUCCCUUGCUGGGCUGUGAGCAACUUUUGGGCAGGUGCGGUGCUUUGUUUACUGUCUUCCUCUGGUGUCCGGUAGAUAAUAAGCACAAGAACUUCACAAGUCUUUGGAGUGUGAAUGAGUGAGUUCAUUCUGAAGCAUCAGGUAGCUGUACCUGUUACUGGGCCCCCUUUGCUGAGAGCGUAUCAAAGCUCUCUGGGUGGAACAGGUCUGGUGUGGUUCUAGGGAUGCUGCUCUUUAUGAUGGUGCUACUGGUGAGAGAGGCUUCUGGAGACUGGUAAAAGAGAUAGAAGUGGAUAUAAAGGGGUGAAAUAACAGGUGGAAAUUUGCAGUCAGCUUCCAGCAGAGCAGGAGGUAGAAGAGCAGAUUAUUUGCCUCUUUGACAGCCUGCGUGGCCAAAUUUCCUGUGGUGGGAGAGAGGCUGGGAACAGAAGAAAGGGACCGACUGCUCUGUAGUUGUCCAGCAUUGACCAGCAUGGGGCCAGAAAGGAACCAAUGUAUAUUGGGUAGCUUUACUAUCCCAUUUUACAGAAAGGGUGGCUGAAAUCCAUUCACUAAUUCAACACAUGUUUAUUGAGCACCUACUAUAUUCCAGACCCUGUCCUGUGAACUGGAGUAUAGCCAAGUUUGAUGGAUAUACUGUGUGCACCUGUAGGGAAUUUGGGGCCAAUAUCCAUUCUGAUUGGUAUCCAUGUUGGCUGGUGGUUACGCAUUUUGACUGUCCCCUCUUUAGCAGAGAACAAAACAAAGUCCCAGCUCUCUUGUGCUCACUUUCUGGAGACAGACAAUGAACAUACACAUAAACACAUGUAUAAUAGGUGAUGAUUAGUGCUAUAAAGAAAAGCAAACAGGACACAGGGGCAGAGGCAGGACCUAGGUUUGGUGGAUCAGAAGAAGGAUGACCGCUUGACCUCCGUCCACAAAGCCUGUGAUAAAGGGACUGUAGAAGAAGCUGGCCAUGA
rnacentral:lncRNA from 1 species